GUUGAUGAGAUUGAGUUUUGGAGAAGGUUUCAAUUUCCCUCAAGGGCUUCCAACAUUCCAUAUAUAUCAGUACUAUGAUCGAUCGACGUCGAGUACGUAUGGGAAUGUUGGUUGCCGGAGGGAACUUUGAAGCAUUGCUCCUCCGCUUUUGCUGCUGACUGAGUGACUCUCUUCGUUUUCCAGUACAAACUCUAAACCCUAAUAGACUUAUUUCACAGACUUAGUUCAUAAUUACGUGUGAUUUUUUUUGUAAUGAGUUCAAUUUGCCUCUCUUUAUAUAUAGUUUUUUUUCUGCUGUUUUUCUCUCCCUCUAAUUAUAGUGGGAAUAUUUGGGGGAUUGGGUGGUCAAUUUGGUGGAGUCUGGAGCAGGUAAAUGACUGAAGUUGAAGAAUAUUACCACCAAGAAGGAUCAAAUGGUUUAGCUAGAUCUUACACAGCCUUAAAACAAUUUUCUUAUACGUUUUGACAAAAUUAAGGUUGUAUUUAGGACAGUGUGUGUGCAGAAGAUUGCUCGACUUUGAAGGUCUGCUCGACUCCUGACUACUUCAGAAUCUCAGUGCCGCAAGAUGAGUUUGAGUUGAUAAAUUGUUGAGAUUGUGAUGAAUGAACUGAGUUUUGAUGAGAAGAAAUCGCAGGUUGCUCAGAGGUACUCAAUUUGCUGCUUAGAUGGAUCAAGAAAGAACGGAUGAAGAUCAUGAGAACUCAAAUACUGCUCAACAAAGUACAAAUUGCAGUUACAGAACAACACACAGAUUGCUUGGUUCUACUUGUACGAUGCGCAAGGCCAUAGUUGUAUGUAGAAGAUAGUGGCUCAAAGACUUGUAUCCUCCAAUUUCCUUUUAAUUAGUACAUAUAUAAAAGUAAAUCAGCAUUUACUUUUUAGUUUUUACAAAUACAAAACCUAAUGUUCAUGCUUC